GUUUUUGGGUUGGUGCCAGAGGAGUCGAGUUUGAUUGGAAGUACAACCAGAUAAGCUUUGACUCAAACAUUAGUUUGGUCCAUUACAUCGCCAUGGCAGCUGUUGUGUGGAUGUUCACCCGAUAUGACCUCUCUUUGACCUCCAGGCUGCCUCUUACUGUGCUAGUUUUCUCUGUGUGUGUACGAAGCCUUUUUAAUAGAUUCACAGCAACUGAAGAAGCAGCAGCAGGUCAUAAAAACAGUCUCAGCUCAAACUGGAGGAAAGGUUUUCACCGGUCAGAGUCUGAGCUGUGAAGCUUUAAAGGAGGCUUAAAAAUGAUCAGCGUUGGCUACUUGGACUUGAUUGACAUGAUUGAUUGACAUGGUUAUGAGCCCAUGAGGAAAAAGAGUGUUCCCUCAUUUCUACCCAACGUUUCAAUGAAUUAGAUGAAGCUAAGGGACAAAGGUCAACAUCAGGAAAC